rnacentral:rRNA from 1 species
UACGAAGGGGGCUAGCGUUGUUCGGAAUUACUGGGCGUAAAGCGCGUGUAGGCGGGUCUUUAAGUCAGGGGUGAAAUGCCAAGGCUCAACCUUGGAACUGCCUUUGAUACUGGAGACCUUGAGUCCGGGAGAGGUGAGUGGAAUUGCGAGUGUAGAGGUGAAAUUCGUAGAUAUUCGCAAGAACACCAGUGGCGAAGGCGGCUCACUGGCCCGGUACUGACGCUGAGACGCGAAAGCGUGGGUAGCAAACAGG